AUGUUUGUUGUGUUGCUUACAGUCAAAACCCAGGUAACAGAGAAGUUGAUGCCUGGGAAAGGACAUAAAGCUGGCUUUAUGACAUUCCUUCAGCAAUUGAACAGAAUCCCUGAGGUCUCAACAGGUAUUGGGGGAAGAAAAUUUCCUCUAGACCAAGAUCAUUGUUUCCAAAAAUCACCUUUAUUUUGGGCUAUGAAGCUUUGGAAGGACAGCAGGGAAUACAAACUGGCUAUGGGUUGUCUCCUGUAUUAUUCAUUUAUGUACCCAAAAAAAAGGCAGAAGAAGAAAAAAAGAAAAAUAAAAACCUUCCUGGUUCCAAGGGAGUCACACAAAAGACACAUACCAACAAAAGGCCACAUGAGGACACAGUGAGAAAUUAGAAGUCUGCAAUCCAGAAGACAGCCCUCAACAGAACCUAACCAUACUUAUACCCUGAUCUCAGACAUCCAGCCUCCAGAAGAGUAAAAAGAUGCAAUUCUUAUUUGUAAGCAAUCUGGUCUAUGGCAUUUCAUUAUAGCAGCCCAAGCUAAGACAGCUCCCUAUCCCAUUCACCAUGCUGCAGCUAUAUGAGCCUCCCUUUUUUUCUUCAAGCUCAUCAAAUCCCUCCUAGCCUUAGAACUUGCUGUUCCCUCUGCCCAGAAUUCUCUUCCAGUUCUUUUCAUCCUGUAAGUCUUGUCCUUUAGAUCUAACUUCACAUGUGACGUCCCCUGAGAACUGUCCUCUGAGAACUUACCUGAAAGAGUCUUCCCAGUUAUUUUCUACCUUACCUUCUAGUUUAUAAUCUUCACACCACUUUUCCACAUUUGUAACCAUUUGCUUUUCUAUAUGUCUGAUAUGGUUAGGCUUAGUGUCCCUACCCAAAUGUCACAUUAAAUUGUAAUCCUCAGGGAGAUUACAAUUUAACGAGAGACCUGGUAGGAAGUGACUGGAUUGUGGGGGUGGUUUCCCCUAUGCUGUUCUCGUGAUAGUGAGUGAAUUCUCAUUAGAUCUAAUGGUAGAUUUUACAAAUGGGAGUUUUUCCUGUGCUGACUCAUUCUCUCUCCUGCCACCCUCUGAAGAGUUGCCUUCUGCCAUGAUUAUAAGUUUCCUGAGGCUUCCCCAGCCAUGGGGAACUGUGAGUCAAUUAAAUAUCUUUUCUUUAUAAAUUACCCAGCCUCAGGUGUUUCUUAGCAGUGUGAGAAUGGACUAACACAAUGUGUAUUUAUUUAUUUAAUAUUUGUCACCACACCCCGAAGUAGAGUCACACAAUCAACCCCUUUAGAUCAGAGAUCUAUACAUUUACCAUUUUGAAAAAGUAACAUAAAAAGCUAGGAAAAUGCAUAGGUAAAGAAGGAUAGAAGAAGAAUCAGAUUCUGACAGGUGAAUUUAAGAAGAUGCCCUGGAAGAUGAAAACUUUGAAAUGUCUCUUUAUGGAGGUAAAUCUAGAAAAUGAUAGAUGGAUUUCAGAGCAAAGAGAGAGAAGACAUUCCAGGAAGAGACAUACCAAGGCAGGGGUUAGUACAUCUGACAUGUGAAUUUCUAAACCUGGAGAAUAAUGGGUAUUAAUUUUCAGGUACUGGUGCCAGUUGGUGGAAUAUAAGGUUAACAGAUAUUUGCUAUAUGGUUUCUGUUUGUAUACUAUAAGAAAGAGAAACAGACAGGCAAAAAGGCAUUUAACAUACAAGGCCGGUAAGUGCCACACAAUUGUAACAGAGGCUCUGAGGAGUUCUGCACUUUGAAAUCAGGGAAGUCUUCAUGAAUGUGGGCCAAAUGAACUGGACUUUGAAGAGGAAGUAAGAUUUGGAUAAAUGUGAGUGACUUCAAGGUAAACUAGUAGAGAGAAGAAGGACAGUAAGGCAAGGUUCAUGAAACCAUGGACAGUCCAGCUGGGUGGAGACAAAGUGCAUAGAUGGUAGAACUCGGAGAAAUCUGGAAAAUAUAGGUGUGAAGCACAGUGGCUAGAAGGACACAAUUCUGACCUUUACGUCAGACAAGUACCCAGGAAUCUCAAUGCAGUAUGGCACAUUCCCUGAUGAAGCAGGUGUUUUGGAAGCAAAUAGGAGGGAGUAUCUGGCCGAGACUUGGGGGCCACUGAAGUCUACAUUUGGAAGGAAGUUUGAGGCAUAAUAGUAAAAGAUAAGUAGAAAUUAGGCAGACAAAAGGUGGAACAUAUUCAAGCAAAGUCAAAAGCAUGUACAGAGAUGCAAAAAGAGAGGCAUGUUUCAUUGAAGCACAGUAUUUUAGUUAGUUUGGAGCUUUCAGUUUAAGGCUAAAAGUCUGAGAGAUGGUGCUGAGGAGGAAAGAACUAGUUCAUGAGAGCCACUACAAUGCACUUUCAGUUGUUUGGAAUCAGAAAAUACUUAAAGAUGAGUAUCAAGGCUGAGUCUAAAUCAGUUUCAUUUAGUUUCACUCCCUGACUCUGCCUUACUGCAAAGUGGAUUGGAAAGGAAGAAGAAAACCAGGAGGUCAGACAGAAGACUACUAUAGCAUAUCUGGGUGAGAGAUGAUAGUGGUUUGAAAGCAGGGAGGCACCGUGGGAUUGAAAGAAGCGAAAUCAAUGAAGAUAUGUUUAAAGAGCCGAGUGACACAAUUUAGUUGAUUGAAUUUAGAGUUUGAAGAGAAGAGUUUUCCUGGUUUUCUGGCUUGAGCAAAGUUUUCUAGGUUCAAUUUUAGACAUGUUGAAGAGGGGGUAACUGUGAGCCACCCAAAUGAUUGGUUCAGGGGCGAUUGGAUGAACUAUCCUGGAAUGAGAAGCUAGACCACACUGGAGGUGAAGAUAUAAAACUCUUUAGCACCUAGGAGACAGUGUAAGAAGAUUCAGGAAGAGUGUGGUUCAAGUUCUUGAAUAAAUGUUUUCUUCACUUUCUAAUUGGAUUAGCU
rnacentral:lncRNA from 13 species